CAGAGCUGCAGAAGUUAGAUUUAUUUGAAAAGCUUGAACAGUGUCAGUGUAAUAAUGAUGGAAAAGAAAAGAAAGAAGGGGAAGGUAAGGAUGAAGAUGAAUAAGAAGAGGAGGAGGCAGAAGAAGACUUUAGUGAUGAUGAUUCUCAGAAGAACCAAGAUUUCGAUGACAAUGAUGAUGAUUUUAAUAUGGAAGAUGAUGGUGAUGAUGAACCUCUUUUGUAGUGAGACAGUGUUGCAUACGAGGCUGCUUAAAACAUACACAAACCUCCCUCAUUUCUCUUCCACCAAAUGGAGUAUCCAGCUAUUGUUUGUUUUCUUGUAGGCCUGUACAUUCAAUUACUAGUUAUUUGUUACAAAGCUCUUGCUCUUCCAGGAAAAGAUUUCGGUCUAAUAUGACCAUGAUUACAAAUAGAAAGUAGGUUAUGUGGAAUCAAAAUGUGUGGUUAGGCAAUGGAUUCGAUUCCCCGUCUUUUUGGUUUUUAAUAUUAGUAAUUAGGGCUUGUACUUUUUUUAAGCUUGCAAUCAACCCUAAUCUGUUAAAUGUGUUAAUCUUUCUUUGUUGCUCU